rnacentral:rRNA from 1 species
CACGGGGGGAGCAAACGUUGUUCGGAAUUACUGGGCGUAAAGCGCGCGUAGGCGGUUAUUUAAGUUGGACGUGAAAUCCCCGAGCUUAACUUGGGAAUUGCGUUCAAAACUGGGUAACUGGAGUGGAGUAGAGGUGAGUGGAAUUUCCGGAGUAGCGGUGAAAUGCGUAGAUACCGGAAGGAACACCAGUGGCGAAGGCGACUCACUGGACUCUAACUGACGCCGAGGUGCGAAAGCGUGGGGAGCAAACAGG